AUUGAACGCUGGCGGCAUGCUUUACACAUGCAAGUCGAACGGCAGCACGAAAGAGCUUGCUCUUUUGGUGGCGAGUGGCGAACGGGUGAGUAAUGCAUCGGAACGUACCGAGUAAUGGGGGAUAACUGUCCGAAAGGAUAGCUAAUACCGCAUACGCUUUGAGAAGGAAAGUGGGGGCUCUUCGGACCUCACGUUAUUCGAGCGGCCGAUGUCUGAUUAGCUAGUUGGUGGGGGAAAGGCCUACCAAGGCGACGAUCAGUAGCGGGUCUGAGAGGAUGAUCCGCCACACUGGGACUGAGACACGGCCCAGACUCCUACGGGAGGCAGCAGUGGGGAAUUUUGGACAAUGGGCGCAAGCCUGAUCCAGCCAUGCCGCGUGUCUGAAGAAGGCCUUCGGGUUGUAAAGGACUUUUGUUAGGGAAGAAAAGGAUAGUGUUAAUACCAUUAUCUGCUGACGGUACCUAAAGAAUAAGCACCGGCUAACUACGUG
rnacentral:rRNA from 1 species